AGAGUUUGAUCCUGGCUCAGGACGAACGCUGGCGGCGUGCCUAAUACAUGCAAGUCGAGCGAGCUUGCCUAGAUGAUUUUAGUGCUUGCACUAAAUGAAACUAGAUACAAGCGAGCGGCGGACAGGUGAGUAACACGUGGGUAACCUGCCCAAGAGACUGGGAUAACACCUGGAAACAGAUGCUAAUACCGGAUAACAACACUAGACGCAUGUCUAGAGUUUGAAAGAUGGUUCUGCUAUCACUCUUGGAUGGACCUGCGGUGCAUUAGCUAGUUGGUAAGGUAACGGCUUACCAAGGCAAUGAUGCAUAGCCGAGUUGAGAGACUGAUCGGCCACAUUGGGACUGAAACACGGCCCAAACUCCUACGGGAGGCAGCAGUAGGGAAUCUUCCACAAUGGACGAAAGUCUGAUGGAGCAACGCCGCGUGAGUGAAGAAGGGUUUCGGCUCGUAAAGCUCUGUUGGUAGUGAAGAAAGAUAGAGGUAGUAACUGGCCUUUAUUUGACGGUAAUUACUUAGAAAGUCACGGCUAACUACGUGCCAGCAGCCGCGGUAAUACGUAGGUGGCAAGCGUUGUCCGG
rnacentral:rRNA from 1 species